GCGCGAAAACUUUACAAUGCUGGCAACAGCGAUAAGGGAACCUCGAGUGCCAGGUUACAAAUCUGGCUGUCGAGAUGCCUAAAAAGCAUUUCAUAGCAAGGGCCGGGCAAGACCGGUGCCAGCCGCCGCGGUAACACCGGCGGCUCGAGUGGUAACCGUUAUUAUUGGGUCUAAAGGGUCUGUAGCCGGCCGGAUAAGUCUCUUGAGAAAUCUGGCAGCUUAACUGUCAGGCUUUCAGGAGAUACUGUCUGGCUCGAGGCCGGGAGAGGUGAGAGGUACUUCAGGGGUAGGGGUGAAGGUCUUGUAAUCCUUGAAGGACCACCAGUGGCGAAGGCGUCUCACCAGAACGGACCUGACGGCAAGGGACGAAAGCAGGGGCACGAACCGGAUUAGAAACCCUGG
rnacentral:rRNA from 1 species